rnacentral:rRNA from 1 species
UACGGGGGGGGCAAGCGUUGUUCGGAAUUACUGGGCGUAAAGGGCGCGUAGGCGGCGACCCAAGUCAGAUGUGAAAGUCCUGGGCUUAACCUGGGGGCUGCAUUUGAUACUGGGUUGCUUGAAUUCGGGAGAGGAUAGCGGAAUUCCCAGUGUAGAGGUGAAAUUCGUAGAUAUUGGGAAGAACACCGGUGGCGAAGGCGGCUAUCUGGACCGACAUUGACGCUGAGGAGCGAAAGCCAGGGGAGCAAACGGG